GCCUAAUACAUGCAAGUUCGAACGGUGGUAGCAAUACCAUAGUGGCGCACGGGUGCGUAACGCGUAACCAACCUGCCCCGAUCUGGGGGAUAGCCCGCCGAAAGGCGGAUUAAUACCGCAUAACCCAACAAGGUGGCAUCACCUAAUUGGUAAAGAUUUAUUGGAUCGGGAUGGGGUUGCGUGACAUUAGCUAGUUGGCGGGGUAACGGCCCACCAAGGCGACGAUGUCUAGGGGACCUGAGAGGGUGAUCCCCCACACUGGCACUGAGAUACGGGCCAGACUCCUACGGGAGGCAGCAGUAGGGAAUAUUGGGCAAUGGACGAGAGUCUGACCCAGCCAUGCCGCGUGCCGGAUGAAGGCCUUCUGGGUUGUAAACGGCUUUUCUCAGGGAAGAAAAAGGGGAUGCGUCCUCAACUGACGGUACCUGAGGAAUAAGCACCGGCUAACUCCGUGCCAGCAGCCGCGGUAAUACGGAGGGUGCAAGCGUUGUCCGGAUUUAUUGGGUUUAAAGGGUGCGUAGGCGGCUUGUUAAGUCCGGGGUGAAAGCCCACUGCUCAACAGUGGAACUGCCCUGGAUACUGGCAAGCUUGAGUCCAGACGAGGUUGGCGGAAUGGAUGGUGUAGCGGUGAAAUGCAUAGAUACCAUCCAGAACCCCGAUUGCGAAGGCAGCUGACUAGGCUGGUACUGACGCUGAGGCACGAAAGCGUGGGGAGCGAACAGGAUUAGAUACCCUGGUAGUCCACGCCGUAAACGAUGGAUACUCGCUGGUGGCGAUAGAUAGUCACUGGCUUAGCGAAAGCGGUAAGUAUCCCACCUGGGGAGUACGCUCGCAAGAGUGAAACUCAAGGGAAUUGACGGGGGCCCCGCACAAGUGG
rnacentral:rRNA from 1 species